UGGGGAAUAUUGGACAAUGGGCGAAAGCCUGAUCCAGCCAUGCCGCGUGUGUGAAGAAGGUCUUCGGAUUGUAAAGCACUUUAAGUUGGGAGGAAGGGCAGUAAGCGAAUACCUUGCUGUUUUGACGUUACCGACAGAAUAAGCACCGGCUAACUCUGUGCCAGCAGCCGCGGUAAUACAGAGGGUGCAAGCGUUAAUCGGAAUUACUGGGCGUAAAGCGCGCGUAGGUGGUUCGUUAAGUUGAAUGUGAAAGCCCCGGGCUCAACCUGGGAACUGCAUCCAAAACUGGCGAGCUAGAGGAGGGCAGAGGGUGGUGGAAUUUCCGGUGUAGCGGUGAAAUGCGUAGAUAUAGGAAGGAACACCAGUGGCGAAGGCGACCACCUGGGCUCAUACUGACACUGAGGUGCGAAAGCGUGGGGAGCAAACAGG
rnacentral:rRNA from 1 species